rnacentral:rRNA from 1 species
UACGGAGGAUGCGAGCGUUAUCCGGAUUUAUUGGGUUUAAAGGGUGCGUAGGCGGAACAUUAAGUCAGCGGUAAAAUCGAGGGGCUCAACCCCUUUAAGCCGUUGAAACUGGUGAUCUUGAGUGGGCGAGAAGUAUGCGGAAUGCGUGGUGUAGCGGUGAAAUGCAUAGAUAUCACGCAGAACUCCGAUUGCGAAGGCAGCUUACCAAGCUACUUCUGACGUUGAGGCACGAAAGCGUGGGGAGCAAACAGG